rnacentral:lncRNA from 1 species
UUUCACUUGCCAGAAAUUUGUGAAAGUGUCAGGACACACCAACCACUGAGAAACCAGUAUUCUUCAAUGACACCCUCCUUCAGUCUUUGGAUGUGGGCUGCUGCAGAAAGGAGGCAUGUGGCCUUGGCAAGGCAACUCUCUUCAGUCAAGACAAAUAUUGCAAAGAGCUGACAGCUGUGGAAAAAGGACCACGGCUGAGUCCAUGGAACCAGAGGACACACUGUAAUCCAGACAUGAGACUGAGCUCCAUUUAUCACUCAGUGUCAUAUGCCUCCACUCUAACAGAGGGCUCAUAUUGAUGCUUCAAUCCCUGUGUAUCACUGUCAACUCGGACCUUGUGUCAAUA